AUACGGAGGGUGCGAGCGUUACUCGGAGUCACUGGGCGGAAAGCGUCCGUAGGCGGUCGGGUAAGUCGGGUGUGAAAGCCCCGGGCUCAACCUGGGAAGUGCACCCGAUACUGCUCGACUCGAGUGCGGGAGAGGAUGGCGGAAUUCCCGGUGUAGCGGUGAAAUGCGUAGAGAUCGGGAGGAACACCAGUGGCGAAGGCGGCCAUCUGGCCCGCAACUGACGCUGAGGGACGAAAGCGUGGGGAGCAAACAGGAUUAGAUACCCUAGUAGUCC
rnacentral:rRNA from 1 species